CACAUGAUGGCCAGGAGCAGGAACAAAGAACAAAGAAUCCAGCCCCGCUGAGGAUUACCCAGCCCCGGAGUACGUCGAACAGGGGAUCCCGGCCGACGACCCCAGCACAGGCCACCGGGGGGCGCCCCAGGACACACGCCGCUGCUACUGCCUCUCGCACAGCCAGCCCCGCUUUAGCUCAUCUCCUCCCCGCUCCAACUCUAGCCCAACCCCCGUCGACGCCCCCUUCUACGCUACGUGGCUAGGGAUCUAGACCAGGACUGGGAGCCUGAGGGGUGGGGCAGAAGAGGACUCAGCGCCAGCGCUGAGGCCGCACCGAAUGAUCUUGGAGCACACAAAGUCCUGUGGAAGUCCUGGCAUGGUGGCUCACACCUGUAAUUCCAGCACUUUGGGAGGCUGAGGUGGGAGGAUCGCUUGAGACCAGGAGUUCAAGACCAGCCUGGGCAACAUGGUAAGACCCCCGUCUCGAUAACAAAUACAAAGCUUAGCUGGGCAUGGUGGUGUGUGCCUGUGGUCCCAGCUACUCAGGAGGCUGAGGCAGGAGGAUCGUUUGAGCCCAAGGAGGCCAAGGCUGCAGUGAGCUAUGGUUGCACCCCUGCACACCAGCCUGAGCAACAAAGCAUGACCCUGUCUCAAAAAAAAAAAAAAAAAAGUUCGUAUGACAAAGCUUGUCCCUCCUCUGCUCAGAACUCCCCAUUUCUGUCACAAAAAAAGUCACAGAAAAGGCCCUGUGUGAAUUUACUUCUUUCUUUACUUAUUUAUCAUUUAUCAUAUCUCCUCCCUAGAGGUAAACUCUGGGAACCUAGGGCUCAAACAGUGCCUGUCUCACGGCAGAUUGCCCAAGAAAUAUUUGGUAAAUUAAUUUUUUUUUUAG
rnacentral:lncRNA from 1 species